GAUGAAGAACGUAGCGAAAUGCGAUAAGUAGUGUGAAUUGCAGAAUUCAGUGAAUCAUCGAAUCUUUGAACGCACAUUGCGCCCCUUGGUAUUCCAUGGAGCAUGCCUGUUCGAGCGUCAUUUGUACCUUCAAGCUCUGCUUGGUGUUGGGUGUUUGUCUCGCCUCUGCGUGUAGACUCGCCUCAAAACAAUUGGCAGCCGGCGUAUUGAUUUCGGAGCGCAGUACAUCUCGCGCUUUGCACUCAUAACGACGACGUCCAAAAGUACAUUUUUACACUCUUGACCUCGGAUCAGGUAGGGAUACCCGCUGAACUUAAGCAUAUCAAUAAGCGGAGGA
rnacentral:misc_RNA from 1 species